AAACCUCAACUCCAAGUUUGGUUAAUCCAAGCUUGGAUGUUGGAUGUGGGCGUUUGUCAAUGAUGAAUUGACUCGCCUUAAAAAUGUGAGCUGGAUUAGUCUUUGCACUGGUUCCCCUAGGCGUAAUAAGUAUUUCGCUUAGGACACAAGUUCGCUUGUGGCCAGGACUUGGACAAUAGUCUGCUUUCUAUACCCCAUACGCACUUGUGUGUAUAAUUCUUGAC
rnacentral:misc_RNA from 1 species